GAUGAAGAACGUAGCGAAAUGCGAUAAGUAAUGCGAAUUGCAGAAUUCCAGUGAGUCAUCGAAUCUUUGUACGCACAUUGCGCCCUUUGGUAUUCCGAAGGGCAUGCCUGUUCGAGCGUCAUUAUCACCCCUCAAGCCCUCGGCUUGGUGUUGGACGGUUUGGUGGAGGCCCCCUCGGGGGUUCCUGCCCCUCCCAAAGACAAUGACGGCGGCCUCGUUGGACCCCCGGUACACUGAGUUCUUCACGGGACACGUAUCGGACACAUGGGUUUACGGGACACGGUCUGCCUCCCCUCAGGGAGAAUCUUUCUAAGGUUGACCUCGGAUCAGGUAGGGAUACCCGCUGAACUUAAGCAUAUCAAUAAGCGGAGGA
rnacentral:misc_RNA from 1 species